rnacentral:lncRNA from 1 species
AUGGUAGUUUCGAGGAAACAAUAAAAUUUGGUUAAAAAUUUAAAUAUAUGUAUUGGUUGGUAUUUUGAAUUUAAACAAAGAUCUAACUAGUGUCGGAUUCUGGGGGAGUACAUGUGCUUAAAUAAAAAAAAAAUCUGCAUAAAACGGUCCAAAUUUUUUUUCGCCUCGCUCCGCUCGGCGAAACAUCCACAUCAUUUCAACUCUGGCUACGCCACUG